GUUAGCUGUCCCUGCUGCAGCUAAUCCUUUGCAAUCAAGACCUCCUCACCUGGUGAUGAACUUUCAGACACCUGUGUACUACAGCUUCUAAUCAGUGUCUCCAUCUCACUGCCAGUGAUUCCACCAACCACCAGCCAGCUCACCAUCAUUUGCAAUGUUGUUGUCAAAUAAACUUCUUUAACCUGA